UAAUAUAUAUAUAUAUAUAUAGUUGAUACAUUUAUAUAAUUAUUAAUUUAUGAUAUUGAUGGGACAAUAGAUUUACAUAUGACUUUCAAAAAAAUUAUUAUCUUAUUAAUUUAUCGAUUUAUGUCAUUUUUUACAUUGGUCCUAACUCGGGACCGGAAGAAUUUAUUAAUUUAUAGAGGUUAUUAAUUUAUAGAGUAUUAAUUUAUAGAUGUUAUACUGUAUAUGAAAGUUGGCCAACUUUCUCCAUAUGAUUGACACAUCAUCACUUUAGCAUUUGCCAUGUGUCUAUUAAAUAAUUAAUGUAAGCUCUUCAACUUCUAAUUUAUAGGUUAAUGAUAUU
rnacentral:sRNA from 1 species